CUACGGGCUGCAGCAGUGAGGAAUAUUGCGCAAUGGGGGCAACCCUGACGCAGCGACGCCGCGUGAGUGAGGAAGGCCCUCGGGUCGUAAAGCUCUGUCAAGAGGAAAGAAGUGCAUAGUAGUUAAUACCUGCUAUGUUUGACGGUACCUCUAAAGGAAGCACCGGCUAACUCCGUGCCAGCAGCCGCGGUAAUACGGAGGGUGCAAGCGUUGUUCGGAAUCACUGGGCGUAAAGGGCGCGCAGGCGGCCUGGUAAGUCAGAUGUGAAAGCCCACGGCUUAACCGUGGAAGUGCAUUUGAAACUGUCAGGCUUGAGUACCAGAGGGGAAAGUGGAAUUCCCGGUGUAGAGGUGAAAUUCGUAGAUAUCGGGAGGAAUACCGGUGGCGAAGGCGACUUUCUGGCUGAGUACUGACGCUGAGGCGCGAAAGCGUGGGGAGCAAACAGGAUUAGAUACCCCCGUAGUC
rnacentral:rRNA from 1 species